AGAGGGUCACAUGACUCAAAGGAAUUGUUCCGAUAAUAACGGUAUUAUUGAGAACUAAGUUACUGACUCUCAGGAUGCCGCUGGGUAAACGAUCUGAAGACGCCACGAAGUUCCCCGUCCUCCUCCUCGUCAUCCUCAUCCACCCAAGCAGCCUCUCUGAUCUGCACGCAACCGCCGUCAUCCUCCGAGUCACAUGACACAUGGUCUCCGUCCUCCACCAAUAGGGCUCCGGCCUGCUCCUCCUCGGCUCCGAACACCAGCUCCUCCAGCAGCCUCACCGAGGCGUCCUCCCCCCCCAGCACCGACAGCCUCUCCGCGUUGGCCCGCCGCGUCUCCUCUUCCUCCUGCGGGUCCACCUCCGGAGCUCGAGUCCUCUUCCGGGCCGCUUUCCCGUCCUCCGUCCCCGGCAGCUUGAUCACGUCCUCCAUCUUCAGCAGGCUCACGGAGAAUCUCUGUUCCUGUCUGCACGUGUGGAGCUGCGUUCUUCUUCGUGUGUUUCCGGUGAGCUCACGAGUUGCAACAACAAAAGUCCGCCCCUCGUGUUGCCGGACAAACGGGCACUUUGGUUCCUUAUUGGGAAAAUGAUUAACCACAAUAUUAACAAAAAAUACAAAACAACACCAUUCAUUCUUAAUAAAACUACCAUUAAAAUGAUGCAGAAUAUAUUUAAAGCAUAUAUAAUAUACAACUAACAGAAAUGCAAAUCUAAAUGAUACAUUAAAUAAAACCAUAGAAUCAAUUUUGAACUGAUGAUUCACUUUGUAUGGUUUGUAUAUAACACUUAAUUAAUUUCUUCAUCAUAAAAUAAAUUCUCCAUGAAGAUGCAACUGUUUUCACUUUUAUUGCUUCAUUUUCAUUGUGUUUUUAAACAUGCUCCAUUUAAUUAACUGAAUGAGUGUAUUGAUUAACAGCAUGAAGUUAAACCUGCUUCUUCACUCAAAUAAGUUCAGAUGAAAUCUGCUGAUUAUUUGCCUUAAAGUCUGAAUGUUAAAUGACAUCACGAGUUAACGGGCUGCUGACGAAUCAAAAGUCAAAACAAAAAGCGUAGGACUGAACUGGUUAUAGUUCUCUUCAUUUUGUUUAAUACAUCUUUAUUGAACAGAAAUCAAACAAAUAAGGAGGACGGAGCGAUGACAUCAUAGCUGUGAUCUCAUCCAAUCAUGACAUCAUCAAAUCUCUUAAGCCUCUCCAGUUGAUUCAGAAUGCUGCAGCACAUGUAUUAACA
ensembl:lncRNA